CCGAACGUAAUGGAUCGGUUUGGGCAGCUCGCGAGGAAUCAAAAACUGUGCGCUGGAGUUGCCGGUCGUUGGCAACUUUAUUCUGUGACUAUUAGAUUAACCAAACACAAACAAUUCGGGCCACAACUCUGUCAUUUUGCUGUUUAAUGAAUUUGUAUGCAGAUCGUGCGCUGAUCCGAUUAUCCACUCGCGAGCCGGUACCGAACUAUAGACGUAGCAGCAGUACACAAAUUGAAGAGGCGAGCGCGUCGACAACGAGUGCUGAGCGCUGUUGACGACAUCAACGGGGUGAGCGUGGCUUGCGCCCCUGUCUCGUCUUGCCUGCUCUAUAUAAGUAAAAUAUACUUACCUGGCGCAUUGGCCACGUUUGCUGUGAUCAGUUGAACGUCAGCUAGCAACUAGAUUGGUUAUCAAUCGAGCGUAGCGGACAACUUGGAUUGUUGGGCCAACAAUUUUAGCUGUUCACAAAAUUGUUUGCUAAGAUUUGAAUUUUUGCAGUCCAUAUCAGACUUUCAGCCAUUGUGUCAUUAUUUUGCUGAACAAUUUAAGAAAAAAAGUGUUGCUAACCAGCCUAGGAGCUUCAGUGUUAAAACAAAAUUAAUUAAAAGAGUGGUUUUAAUAGUUAAAAUUCUAAAGACUUGCGACAAAAUGAAAUAAAGCAUUAACAAAAAAAAAACAACAAAAACACUUACUUAGCACUCAGGUGCAAAUUGAAAGCAGACUAAGCAAGUAGUUCGAGUAGCGAAAAAAUGUGAUCGACUGAGUUGUGACGAGCUGGAAUGACAGCAAGCAACCAGAACAACACAAAAAUUCAUUUAUUUAUUUGUACAAGUUCUGUUGCUUGGCAAUAUUUUUCGAACUGUUAACAAAAACCAUAAAUCAAAGACAACAACAAAGCAGUCAACUGAAUAACACAGCCUCAAACACACAGUUUCAGUGGGCCGGCAAAUGAAUCGAACUGGCAGAAGGCAGCUGAAACUUCAGUGCUGAAAGCAGACAAUCAACGCUAGUGGCAUUUUUAUUUGCAUAGAAAUUAAGUGGCAGUCACUAAAAGCAGCAAAACAAUCAAACGUUAGGCGGCGGUACGCUAGUCAUCUAGUCACACGAUCAAUUUGAGCGCUGACACAACGAUGGGAAGUUCCCGUCAAAACACACAAAAACACGAAUAUGUUUUUUAUUUGAAAUUUACAUUUGAACAAAAACGAGAAAAACACAACGCAUUUAUUAGUUAAUUUUAGAAUUAUCGUUCAAAUAUGAAAAUUCUGGCAUAGGCGAUAUUUCUUUAUAUGUAAAAAUUGCCAUUUGGCUAUAAAACAGCCAACUUUACCGCUUGCGUUGACACUUAAAACCAAAAACAACAAAUAUGCAUAUAAAAAUGUAAAAUGCGCAAAAUGCCAACGAACUUUGAGCGUUACAAUCUCCGGUAACUUUUACCUAACCACUAAUUUCCAUACAUAUAAAUAAAAAUAUUAAAAAAUAUGUAUGCAAAUAUGACCUCAUUUUACACGUACGUACAUACGUAUGUAUGUAUGCGCGUAUUGCAUGUCCUCGUGCAUGUUGUUGUAACCCACUUGAAAUGUGAGCUUAUAAAAUUUCGUAACAGUUCAUAUCAUUUUUUAUACGUACAUAUCUACUUGUACAAACUCGUAUAUGUGAGAAUGAGAGUUCCUACCGAGAACUGUCAGUUGGCUCCUGUCAUAAAGUUGACAAAAAAUUGAGAAGUUGUACACAUCUUUUUGGUAGCCUGCCGUCAAUAUUCGUUGAGUGUUGUCCUUGACUGAAGCUGGUGUGAAAUUUGAGCCAACGCGCCGAAAAGUUGACGUUGAAGAGUUUGGUUGGCGGAUGCGCAUAUGGGGCAUAUUUUGUGGUAUUCAGGCAUUUGAUAUCACAAAAGGAUACUACUCGUUGCAAAAAGAAGUGACUGCUGAAUAUGUGAAACAAGCAAACAGCUACAUAUGCACAACGCGAAGUGGUGGUGAUCGCAAAUGAUUGGAGGCAAUUGACGAGUGGAAUUUGUGGCGGCAAGCGCCAUCAUCAACAUGCAGCAGCUGCUCCGCUCAUUACUACUGUUCAACGUAUCAUUGCUGAGCUGCUGCUGCUGCUGCUGUUGUCAUUGCUCGUGCUUGGGCCAGGCUUGUCAAUCACGUGCAAGGAAUUGACACAAAGCGAUGCGAGCGAGUGGCUGGAUGGAAACGUAGCAGUUCAGCUGUUAAGGUAAGGAAAAUGGAAAAUUCGGUAUGUUGUUGUAAAGUAUAAAUGUAGAGUGUGUACAUGAGUGUGUAUGUAUGUGUGGUUGCUUGAAUGUAAGUUAGCAACUCAGAUCGCUUGCUGUCUGUGCGACCAACUGUCACUUCCUGUAUUCAGUGUGGCCUGCGACUAGCGGAUGUGGUGCGGCAACCAGUUUGCCAAUUGAUUGUUAAUAAGUUCUUUAAAAUGCUAAGCAAUAAAUUGAUUUUUUUUCUUAACAUUUUUAAUUUCAUAUUUCGUACAUUGAUUGAAUUAAUUACUGCCAUUGAUUGAAAUGUUAAUUCAAAUAAUUUAACUUGAUAAUUUCUUGAAUUGAGCUUAAUUAGCAAAUACUAAUUUGUCUUUAACCACUCUUCACAUUUUUCUUAAUGGCUUAUCAUCAAUUGUUAAUUAUACAAAGUUGCCGCAAACAGAAAGUAAGCCACUCAAGAAAAAAUUUGUGUAUAGUAAAAUGAAAUACCUGAAAAGCAGCCAGCAGCGUUGAGACAAUCAUGAAAUUGUAAAUUUGAAGAAAGAGAAGAAAAAUUGUAUUGAAGUGAAAAAUUUAUGAACAAAGUGGUAUUUAAAUGUCUAUUGUGGCUGAUUGUGCGCGACUGAUAAUAACGGCAGUAGCGCUACAAAGAAAUCAAUGGUGAAAAAGCAAAAAAAUAACGAAAAAUAUGUUGAGUGUAGCUGUCAGUGCUUAGCUUUAGAAAAGAAAUGAAGAGACUUUGUGAGUGUUAACGAAGAAAUUAUGAUUGUGCCAAGAAAGUGCUAUUUAUUUUUCAUUGUUCCAAACCCCAAUUCCACUUCAAACACGAUUAUAUAAAUUCUAAUUAAUUGGAGAUGCUGCUUCAUUGUUUCAUUUCAAAGCCAAAUGGAGACAAAGCUAUUAAUCAUUAUUUGUGGCAAAAUAUGAAUAACAAAUUGACAACAAAGCAAUAACUCAAAAUUUCGAUAGCUACAGCGAAUUGAGCAGGCAAAGGUUGCAAAGCAGCUGAACCCUGCAGGCAAAUCUACGAGUUAGUAAUGAACUGAUGUGUGAGUAGUGCAUUGGGGGGCACUAUUGGUUUCAAUGACUUCUGUGUUCCAAAUAAGCCAAUAAUGAAUUUCACGUAGUAUUAUCAUCGGAAGUAUUAAAAGUUCAUUAAUACAUUACUUUCAAGGUGGUUAGCAACUAGUGAAUUCGGGACCACUAUUGGUUUCAAUUACUUCUGCUUUCCGCACAGGCCAAUAAUGAAUUUCACGUAGUAUUAUCAUCGGAAGUAUUAAAAAUUCAUUAAUACAUUACUUUCAAGGUGGUUCGCAACUAGUGAAUUGAGGACUACUAUUGACUUCAAUUACUUCUUUUUCUGCGAAAGCAAAUAAUCAAUCGGAAGUGUUAAAAGUUCAAUAAUACUUUCAAGGUGGUUCGCAACUAGUGAAUUCAGGCCCACUAUUGGUUUCAAUAACUUUUCUUUUCCGCAUAAGCAAAUGGUGAAUUCUGCAUGUUAUUAUCAUCGGAAGUGUUAAAAGUUCACUACUGCAAUACUUUUAAGGUGGCCCGCAACUAGUACUAAAUUCGAAAGAUGUGUUCCACUGCGCUCAGCAUAUUUUUAACUACUUCAACAUUAAUAUUAAACUCAAAAAUUAUAUUUCUGAGCAAUAAAAUCGAAAAAUAAUUCACGCUACUGUCACUAGUUAUUCCUUGAUACCUGCAACUCCAAGUAAAUAUUCGAUACUUUUUCCCGAAGCAAAGAGAAAACAAACUAAACUCAAGGGUUUUUCAAAUUUAACUCCUACAAAUUUUUGCCUAAAACAGCACAUUUAAUUAUUCAUCAUGAUAAGUUAACAUUCGAAUACCACAAAAAGUCUCUCGAAGAAAACUACACAAUUUUCUGGUGCUGCCUGAACAGGAAAACCAUCAGAGGUACAGCCUAUACAGGUACAACACGCUGCUAUUUGUGGUAGGCUUGAUUACUUGCUUUUACUAUUUGAUACUGUUUUGAUAUUUCCACACUCUGAAGACAGAUGCCGUGACUGGCAACAAACUAGGGAAAUCGUACCAGUUGGAAGCCAGAAAUUUUAUUUACUGGCUGAAGUUUGCUUCGCAGGGUAGUGUAAAUACAAAUUGGACUGUAUGUAUGUGUGCUACUAAAUACACCUCAACUGCUUACACACAUAUGUAGUAUAGGGGUUUUGUAUAGGGGGAUAAUAAUUUGCUACUCCAAAAACAAAAAAAAAAAGUUAUUACCGUAGCACUGAAACAGUGCCCUCAAUUUUCAGGCAGGCAAGAAGGAUAAUUUAAACCAUAAAAUUCACUAUUAAGUAUGGAACACCCCGGACCAAGCACCGAAAAUAUCGUAUACGUGCACUCACAGUACUCGGGGGAAUGUCAUUUUUUGAGUUCAAGGCUGAUUUAACAAUAAAGCAGUAAAUGAAAUUAUUGCUUUUAUCUGUUUUUCUAUAUUUUGGCCUCACUCAGAGGCCUUGCAGCUCGUCCAAAUGUGCUCUACAAGUUCAUGUACAGUCCUAUUGAAAAACCCUUUCUGUUUUGCGGCUCUUGUUUUUUAAGCUGUAGGUUUGGAAAUAUUAUGAUUUUUAAGCGCACACCUUUUGCUUCUGCCUUUUUUCGUGUGAUUUUCGUUGCUACUCUCGGCUAUUGAUUUUUAUCUUUUUUUGAGAUGAAAUUUUCUUUUUUAACUUUUUGUUAUUACUUUUGCUGUUAUUUAUAAUUAUUAAGAAACUACUUAUUCAGCAACUUUUGCCUUUUGAAGGUAUUCCACGUAGUUAAUGUAGCUUUUUGUAGAAUUUCAAAGUGCUGGCUUGUUUUUUAUGCUUUUCUCGCUACGUUAGGCCUAUUUUUAAAAGCCUUAGCGGAGUAUGAGUAAUUCAAAUAUUCUGCAGAUACUUAAUAUAUUUUUAAACGCCCAUUGGGUGCGGCCACAGGCUUGAGUAGUUUUUUUUCAGACAAUCUGUGUAUAGAGAGGAAAGGUAUUAAAUUGUAUUUGUUCCGAAAUUAUCUCAAUAGAGUACUCCUAUUACGAAAAAAAGCUAUCCAGACACAGGCCUGUGAGUGAAAGUUGGCGCAUUCGCAUUUGCGCUUCAACAUUUUUUUCUUUUUUAAAGACUCGGCAGUACGCAAAACUUAAAACUCAACUCAGAUUGACUAAUGUUGAUCGAAUUAGUAGAAAUUCUUUCAGGUUCGCUGACCAGGCAUGGUGCGUUUGGUUUGUUCGAAGUAUAUGUUUGCCCUUAAGUCAUUACAAAAUGCUUUUUCUGAAAAUGCGAGUAAUUUCAGCAAAUGCCAAUAAUUUCAUGAAAUCUCAUGUUCUUUAGUAGAACAGCAUUCAGUUAGCCAUAAAAAAUAUUGAAUUUUUGUUUACUAAAUUUUCCUCUAAGAAACUGCGUGCCACAAAUCCUUAAGCGGUCAUUUCAGAUUGGAAUAAGUUAGAAAAGUUCAGUUGGAAUUAUUGAAAACUUCCUUUAGCAUAGUUUCAGAACACCUUUGGUCACUAUAGACUUAAAAAACCAGAAUAUAACCCGCACUCCAUACUCAUUGCCCGCACCAUCUGUUGCACAUCAGCAAGGGAAUGUGAACCGCAUACGGCAAAUUCCGUUCUUUCUCACUUCUCACAUGACGCUCGGCGCUUUUUUGUAAGACAUUCAAAUUAUGCGUUUCAAAAUGCACAGACACACACACAUAUAUAUACCUACAUAUGAACAUUCGUUCAUAUUGCCAUAUUGUAUUUACAUUCAAUUGCCUCUGCUCUGUGCCUGCUCCAUUCCCAUCCGUUUGCGCAGCUAAACAAACUGGUUUAGACAAUGAUUCAUCAAACAUCCGUCACAGCACAACAGGCAACAAACAGGCUAACAACAGGUAGCUGACAGCAUAAAAACAAUAACAACAACAAAAAAGUAACAAAUAAAGAAUAAUAAAAACACAAAAUAACACUCGAGUUUCGCUGUUAUUGGCCAGAGCUUGGUUUGCUUGGCUCACAUUCGACUGACACGACCACCACAAUUACAUCCGGUAAUUUAAUGUAAUUUUAGAUUUUUCUCAUUUAAAUCGCAUGCAAUGGAAAAAUAAAUGGGAGGAAAAGUUGAAAAAAUAUAUCUACGCAUAUAUCUGUAUAUAUAAUAUAUAUGUACGUGUAUAUGUAUAUACAAUAUAAUUUAUAUAUGGUUGUGUAUGUAAAAAGGAAUGUACUGGGGCAGAGCGAAAUGCACACAUACGCUGCUAAUAUCAUAUAUGGGUGUAUGUAUGCACACUUGUACUACUCGUACUUAUCUAUGUUUGCGUGUAUCUGAAUAUAUUGAGCGGUGACCGAUAGUCAGUUAGAAAUAAAAAACAACAUACUAACGGCAAAAGUAAUAGGCGAGCGGUCAAAUUUGUUUAGAAAUUAAUUUGAAUAUGGUAAAAGUGAGGCUAGGUUUUGCUGUGAUUCCACCGUAAAUUUCUUUAGCUAGUGCCGUGAUUUAAAUAUCAGUCACUUUACGUUUCAACUGAGUGAUAGAAAAUACCGGUGCUAGUAAAUCUUAGCUGGACCUUAGCGUCCAGAUCGUUAAACUAUUUGUGGAAAAGGUUGAAAGGGCAUUAAAUAAUAGAAAUUAAAUAAAACAAAAAAUAAAAUAAUGAAAUUAAAUAAAAAAUAAUAAUGAAAUAAAAAAAAUAAUAAUAAUGAAAUAAAUCAAAAAAUAAUAAUGAUAAUAAAUAUUGCUGGUAAAAGAUUAAUUUUAAGAGUUGCUGACUAAUAAUUUGCAAUUAGCACCUUUUUCGCAUUUUGCAACCCAGUGAGCUCUACUAAUCAAGCCGAUAAUUUAUUCCUAACUUUUGCACUUUAACUUUCUUCGUUUACUUAAUUGUAAAGGUAAGAAGAAAUGUUUAGUUUUUGACUUUAAAGUACAUUUUGACUCUUUUCGUUCAUUUCAUACAAUGAUAAGAAAAAAAUUCCAGUUCUUAAACUUAAGCAAGACUUGCGUAAAAAUCUAUUAAUUUUCAGCUAAUCUGAUCAUUGUUCAUUUAACCUUAGUUAAAUUCGCUGCACUUCAGUUCAUUUUAAGCUUAACCACAAAAUUUAAAGAGCACUAAAACUAAAUUAGUAUUCUUCUACUUGCCUGGCGCGAUAACCUCUUAUGCUAUAUUGGCUGAGUUUAACAAAGUGCACCAGUCGUUUCUUUCUCGUCCUAACCGGCGCCAGUUGGACACAACAAAUGAAACCCAGUCCUUCUCCACCGGAGCUUUCCCACGCAGGGGAGGGACUCCUUUUUUUGUUAGCACCAGGUGGUACCGCAUCGAAUACUUUCAGAGUCGGAGCGUUUUUAUCCAUUCGGACGACAUGCCUACUUAGUCCAAAGUAGCACUUGUUGGCAAGAGAGAAUCUACGUUGGAUUUCAAGGCUGGCAUUGUUAUCCGUGUUAAUGCUGGUUUCUAAAUAAACGAAGUCUUUUACAACCUCGAAAUUAUAACUGCCAACAGUGACGUGGGUGCCGAUACGCGAGAGCGCAGACUGUUUGUUUGAUGACAGGAGGUACUUCGUUUUGUUCUCGUUGACCACCAGACCCAUUCGCUUUGCCUCUUUAUCCAGUUUGGAGAAGGCAGAACUAACAACUUGGUUGCUAAGGCUGAUGACGUCAAUAUCAUCGGCAUACACCAAAAAUUGUAUGCUUUUAUAAAAAACUGUGCCGGAGGCUUUAAUUUUGCCGCACGCACGAUCUUUCCCAGCAUCAGGUUAAAGAAGUCACAUGGCAGCGAGACUGGUUGACAGUCUGAAAUUCGUUUGAUAUCAAACGGCUCGAAAGGUACCCACCAAUUCUGAUGAUUCUGAUAGCACUGCUGGUAUUGAGCAUCGUCAUUUUGUAUUAGCCGUAUUAGUUUUACGGGGAUCCAAAUCCAGACAUCAAGGCAUCGAUAAAAGAAUUUUUUCUAAGUUUUUUCUAAGACUUGGCGUUUUCUGAAUAUUUGGUGGAUUGUGCACUGGAUAUCAGUCGCCAGAUCGCUGUCUUUGUU